CCAGUUGCAAGUCCAUCAUCGACUCGCAACUCGGCUCGUAGUUUUUUUUUUCACGUCACUUGCAACUCGACCCUCGACUUGGGGGUCAAAAUGUUGAGAUAGAUAGGGUUCAUAUCUACUUGAUAUAGAGAGGAUACAAUUUAUAAUUUUUCUUCCCAAGCACUUUACUCAUUUUAUUGGUCCAAAAAAAUAACCGACUUAAAUCUUUGUUUCUAAUGGACAAAAGGGAUAACAUGUUGACCACCAAGUGGAAUUUAUUUGUUAGUCAGUAAGAGGAUUUGAUGGUGUUGCAAACUCAUUACCCUGAGAGGCAAAUGAGUAAGGUGGAACCAUCCGCAGAAGUUGUUUUGCAUUUGAAAAAGCCUCAGGUCAAACACCACUGCUGGGUACUGGGAUGCACAGUCUACAAUCAAAACAAAGCAGUAAGUUCAUCUCAUGUUUUUUCCUGUCAUUUUUGUUUUUAUGGUCCCAUAUGUAUUUAUGAAUCAAUAUUUAUUUAUUUUUCUUUUUUCCCAAAUCAUACCUGAGUGCCAACGUAGUCCCCUGCAUAGCUAUCUUCAUUUCCCGCGGUCAUCAGUUUUUACAAAAUUUAACAUUAUGCUUUUCUUCGCCUAAAGAUUUUAUGGAAUGGAGGAGCACACCCCUAAGUUCUUUUUCUUAGGGGCAACAUGCUAACAUUUGUCAUAUGCUGUUUUCUUUCUUAUCAGGUGCCAACACGUUUUUGUGAACAUGCAUAAUACACUGAGAUGCAGUCAAAUUCUAAGUUCUUCUUUCUUUGAUGAAAAAUUCUAAAUUCGGAGUCAGCACUUUUUAUUUUGUUCCCUAACAAGGUAAUGAUGCAUCUUUUCCUCUUUCUUUUCCCUAGUGAGGCCAAAUAUAUUUUCUUGAUCAAGUUGUAUAUAGAAAUGUAGUUAUAGUUUUUCUGGGGAAGGCAAUGUUUUUUGCUGAAUAAAUGGGAACAAAUGCCGUCUAAAAGUAGUUGCACGCAAAUUGGAACAAGGAGGUGUUUUUGUUCUGAUCUUUCAGUUAGCACAUGUAUGAAGCUCAACCCAUCUGAAACAAACAAGUUAUCUGGCAUGUAAAAGAUAGUGAUACGCAAUUUUUCUCUACCACUUUCUAAGGCUAGAUCAGUUUUCUGAGCCUAGAUCACACUGACAUGCACUUUAUUUAGGCACAACAACACAAUGUUGUCUGUGUGUUGAUGUAGAUAUGGUCUGCUUAGAAAGACUUUGCUCUGAUUUUUUUGACGACAAAAAACUGUUUAACUGUUGUGUGUGUUUUCCAGAGACCAGGACCAUCAUAUGCUUGAUGGAAAAAGAAAGGAUAAUCAAGAGCAAAAAAUAAAGAUCUACCAUCAGAAAUUAUCUACAAGGUUGUACACGAUCUUGCCAGAAAGGAUCUACAAGGAGAGGCCAAAUUUUGUACUUGGGUUUUUGCAACUUUUCGUCAGCCACCUAAGCUUCUUUUGCAACUGUUUUUUUUUUCUGCCAACAAGGCCCAGGACUAUGCGCACAUGUAGCUCUUCUUUUUUGUCAAACAAACAAAUAGACAAAUAAAGCCCAACAAACAAGGUCCCGAGGGAGGAGGUAGGUCGGCUGGGUGGGGUGGACUGGCCAGACAAACAAACAAUACAAACAAGCGUCUAUGUGUGUGAGGGUGAUCGGGUGCAACCAGGCUGGUUGUUUGAUUAGAGGAUGAUGUCAGCUUAGAUGUGAGAUAUUAUCUCACAUCUAGAUGCAACAUAGACAGACCC
rnacentral:lncRNA from 1 species